rnacentral:lncRNA from 1 species
CUUUGGAACAGAAUAGGCAUAGUCCUUGUUCUCAAGUGUUUGAGGAGAGAAGAGCAUGGUGAUUUUGAAGUUAGGUUUCUCCCAAUUUAGGGCCACAGAAAUGUUGCCCUUUGCAAUAACAGCACCUGUGCCUGAAAUGAUCUCAACUGCAUGGAUCCAAUUAUUUGAAAAUUGUGAUAACUCACAGGCACAUCUCAGCACUCUUCCCUUUCUUUGGCAAAAGGUUAGAAAGCUGACCAGGGGAAGAGGAGCCCAGACUCUGGGCUUCCUUGAGGUGCAUUCAGUGGAAAGAGAAAAGCAGCCUCCAGGGGACCUCAAGGAGCAGCCCUGAGCAUUUCUUCCUAGACACUGUCUAGAACUCUGUUUCGUGUGGAGCUAUUCCUUGUAUUUCAGUUCUAGUGGUUUCAAUCAAAAAUAACAACUGCCCAUUAUUUGAACAUGUGCUCUGCUUUCAUGCUUUACACACAUCAUCUCUACUCUUGACAGUAAUAAUUCAAGGUAGGUGGCACCAUGCUACUGUUUCAGUGUGUCUCCUGAAGUUCAUGUAUUGAAAACUCAAUCCUCAAAUUUAUGUGUGCAUGGUAUUUGGAGGUGGGCCCUUUUGGGGGUAAUUAAGAUCAGAGGAAGUCAUGAGGACAGACACCGAAGAUGGCAUUAGCAGCUUUAUCAGAAGAGGAAAAGGCCUGAGCUAGUGUGCUUGCUCUGUGGCAUCUUGUGAUACAGGAAGAAGGCCCUCACCAGAAGCUAAGCAGAUACCAGUGCCAAGCUCUGGUCUUCUCAGUCUCCAGAACUGUGAGCUAAUUAGACUUCUAUUCUUUAUAUCUUACCCAACCCCAUGUAUUUUGUUAUAGCAACAUAAAACAGACUGAGAUGCACCACCAUAUUGCAGGUUAGCAGACACUAAUUUAGAGAGAUCAGUGACCUGUCUACAUUUUAGGAUAAGGCCAAAUCAGACACUUUUAGCUGUAACUCAUGGGGGAGAAGAAUCCCUAGUGUCAUUGUUUAUUCUUAGAAUUUUCUUUCUCAGGAGAAUUAUGAAAGACAUACAAUUGUUUUGAAUUUCAAACCAAUUUACCUGUGUAACUAAAGAAGUGGUAAGAUGCUCAGUAGGAAAAAGUGGAAACUGACCCAGUGAAUGCCAGAACAGAGAGUGGAUCCAAUUACAGCUCUCCCUGGGACACAGAUGAUCUUAUUCUGAUUAGCUGUACCAUCUUCAUUGGGACAAAAAUGAAAC